rnacentral:rRNA from 1 species
ACGUAGGUGGCAGGCGUUGUCCGGAUUUAUUGGGCGUAAAGCGAGCGCAGGCGGUCUCUUAAGUCUGAUGUGAAAGCCCCCGGCUCAACCGGGGAGGGUCAUUGGAAACUGGAGGACUUGAGUGCAGAAGAGGAGAGUGGAAUUCCAUGUGUAGCGGUGAAAUGCGUAGAUAUAUGGAGGAACACCAGUGGCGAAGGCGGCUACCUGGUCUGUAACUGACGCUGAGGCUCGAAAGCGUGGGGAGCAAAUAG